rnacentral:lncRNA from 1 species
AAAUUUUGUUGAAUUGAAUAAUUCUGCAGGAAAAAUCCUAGUUUUUAUUUCUUUUUACAGAGGGCAUGCUGGCCCCGCUGCUUCAUGAACUCCCGUGAGUCAUCAGGGUCCUGUGUAGCCAAUCACGGGCAGGUCAACCUGCAGUGGGCUUAAGUAGCAGGAGCUCAAGCUGCCCUCGUAAUAUGUAUCAAUUUGAGCUGGUGUCAUCCUCUCUUCCUGGAUGCCAUUUCCUGUUGGAGUUGAUAUACAAGAAAAUGUGCCAGAAUUGGUCACACAGAACAACAACAAAAAAGCUAUGAGGAAGAUAUGCACACCUGUACCUGAUCAUUUCUAGUGACUUUCCAAGAGGCAGAAGGAACUAGGUGCACCUCAUCCCAAAUCAUGUUGACCAGCAUCAUCUUUGGGUUGAGUGGUGUGGAGGUUCAAAACUCACGCGCGCGCGCACACACACACACACACACACACACACUUGCGCAUCUGAGCCCCAUCUCUGUAGGUUGGCACCAUGUGAUCUGAAACAUGUUCCAGCUCAUUUCUAUUCACUGCAACAGGACACCUCACAUGUGCCUCCCUUUCUCUGACACCCUCUUCUCAAUGUCAGCUAAAUAAAAUGCCAUGAAUUUUAAUCCACUCCAAACCACUGUUUCCUUUUUCCUACAGAAUAAAAGUCACUGUUAGUUCAGAAAAACUCCCAAAUCCAAUAACAAUUAGAGAAGCAAUCCAUAGUUUUAUGAAAUAAGAACACCCCAUCCCCCAACAAAUCCCCGAGGAAUUACCAAAAUGUAGAAAGAAAUUCAGUGAAGGCUGAUAAAGAUGAUUCGAGAAAGGAUUAUUGCCACUGUAUGGACUUGCACUUGUUUAAAGAAGUAUGGAUAAAUGCUCAGGAGCAGAUGGCACUAAAUCAACUGCAUUCUUUAAUAACUUUUACACAAAUCUCUUUAUGAAAAACUAAGUUGGAUAUUUCCAAUUUCCUCACAACUGCAAUUACACAAAAUCAAGUUGUUUUUCAUUUACAAAUCCUGACACCUUAAAUGCUGAGCCAUGCUUCCCAAUAGCACAUUUUCCUUUUGCAUUUUCCCUUUCUUUUCAUCAUCCUGGGUGUUUCCAGGGCUGUGAGCAAUGAACUUUCCAUCAGGCACAUUUUCACCUAAUUAACCCCCCUGAUUACAAUAAUUAGUAUUGAUUCACUCUUUGAAUGACUUUGUAGGUAUUCAAGCACAAUCUGUACUUGCUAAAGUUCUAGAUAUGAAUAUUAAUCAACCACUCGCCUCUGGUUUUUUUCAGACCCCAAAGGAUAUUUUGCAAUUGUAUUUACCCAUAUUUUUAAAAAUAAAAACGGUGAUGCUUCAUUUUAACAAAUAAAAGCAUUUAAAAGCAUGUAGGUUAUAGAUCUCAGUAUGUGGUCCGCUAUACACAGCUUGUGAAUAUUCCCAAGGC